CCUACGGGUGGCAGCAGUGGGGAAUAUUGCACAAUGGGGGAAACCCUGAUGCAGCGACGCCGCGUGAGUGAGGAAGCAUUUCGGUCUGUAAAGCUCUAUCAGCAGGGAAGAAAAUGACGGUACCUGACUAAGAAGCCCCGGCUACCUAGGUGACAGCAGCCGCGGUAAUACGUAGGGGGCAAGCGUUAUCCGGAUGUACUGGGUGUAAAGGGAGCGUAGACGGCUAAUCAAGUCAGAAGUGAAAACCCAGGGCUCAACCUGUGUACUGCUUUUGAAACUGAGUAGCUAGAGUGCAGGAGAGGUGAGCGGAAUGCGUAGUGUAGCGGUGAAAUGCGUAGAUAUUAGGAGGAACACCAGUGGCGAAGGCGGCUUACUGGACUGUAACUGACGUUGAGGCUCGAAAGCGUGGGGAGCAAACAGGAUUAGAUACCCGAGUAGUC
rnacentral:rRNA from 1 species